CAGUCGAGGGGCAGCGGGGGUAGCAAUACCCGCCGGCGACCGGCGCACGGGUGAGUAACGCGUAUGCAACUUACCUAUCAGAGGGGGAUAACCCGGCGAAAGUCGGACUAAUACCGCAUGAAGCAGGGGCCCCGCAUGGGGAUAUUUGCUAAAGAUUCAUCGCUGAUAGAUAGGCAUGCGUUCCAUUAGGCAGUUGGCGGGGUAACGGCCCACCAAACCGACGAUGGAUAGGGGUUCUGAGAGGAAGGUCCCCCACAUUGGUACUGAGACACGGACCAAACUCCUACGGGAGGCAGCAGUGAGGAAUAUUGGUCAAUGGGCGUAAGCCUGAACCAGCCAAGUCGCGUGAGGGAUGAAGGUUCUAUGGAUCGUAAACCUCUUUUAUGAGGGAAUAAAGUGCGGGACGUGUCCCGUUUUGUAUGUACCUUAUGAAUAAGGAUCGGCUAACUCCGUGCCAGCAGCCGCGGUAAUACGGAGGAUCCGAGCGUUAUCCGGAUUUAUUGGGUUUAAAGGGUGCGUAGGCGGCCUUUUAAGUCAGCGGUGAAAGUCUGUGGCUCAACCAUAGAAUUGCCGUUGAAACUGGGAGGCUUGAGUAUGUUUGAGGCAGGCGGAAUGCGUGGUGUAGCGGUGAAAUGCUUAGAUAUCACGCAGAACCCCGAUUGCGAAGGCAGCCUGCCAAGCCAUGACUGACGCUGAUGCACGAAAGCGUGGGGAUCAAACAGGAUUAGAUACCCUGGUAGUCCAC
rnacentral:rRNA from 1 species